rnacentral:sRNA from 1 species
CGGUGUCUGGCCGGGCCUGUCACCGGGACGAAGCUCCUGGGCUCAAGUCUCCUUCCAUGGCGGUGCCUUCUCCAGGCUGGGUUGCCUCACCCAAGACGGCCAUGCCCAGCCCUGGGGUCUCCCAGAGCAAGCAGCCGCCUCUCAACAUGAACUCUUCCACCACCCUGAGCAACGUGGAACAGGGUACCCUCCCGCCUAGCGGCCCCCGGAGCAGCUCCUCAGCACCUCCCGCCAACCCUCCCAGCGGCCUCAUGAACCCCAGCCUACCAUUCACUUCCUCCCCAGACCCCACACCUUCCCAGAACCCCCUGUCACUGAUGAUGACCCAGAUGUCCAAGUACGCCAUGCCCAGCUCCACCCCGCUCUACCACAAUGCCAUCAAGACCAUCGCCACCUCAGACGACGAGCUGCUGCCCGACCGGCCCCUGCUGCCCCCCCCACCACC